rnacentral:rRNA from 1 species
GACGAACGCUGGCGGCGUGCUUAACACAUGCAAGUCGAACGCGCCUGUCCUCUGGGUUUCUGGGGGGUGGGUGAGUGGCGAACGGGUGAGUAACACGUGAGUAACCUGCCCCCUUCUUCGGGAUAACGGUCUGAAAGGGCUGCUAAUACCGGGUAUUCACUGGUCUCCGCAUGGGGUCUGGUGGAAAGGUUUUUUUCUGGUGGGGGAUGGGCUCGCGGCCUAUCAGCUUGUUGGUGGGGUGAUGGCCCACCAAGGCUUUGACGGGUAGCCGGCCUGAGAGGGUGACCGGUCACAUGGGGACUGAGAUACGGCCCAGACUCCGACGGGAGGCAGCAGUGGGGAAUAUUGCACAAUGGGCGCAAGCCUGAUGCAGCGACGCCGCGUGAGGGAUGGAGGCCUUCGGGUUGUGAACCUCUUUCGCCCGUGGUCAAGCCGCGACGUGGGUCGUGGUGAGGGUAGUGGGUAAAGAAGCGCCGGCUAACUACGUG